rnacentral:rRNA from 1 species
CAGCCGUAAACGAUACUCGCUAGGUGUCGGCCACGGUGCGACCGUUGUCGGUGCCGUAGGGAAGCCGUGAAGCGAGCCACCUGGGAAGUACGGCCGCAAGGCUGAAACUUAAAGGAAUUGGCGGGGGAGCACCACAACGGGUGGAGCUUGCGGUUUAAUUGGAUUCAACGCCGGAAAUCUUACCGGGACCGACAGCAACAUGAAGGCCAGGCUGAAGACUUUGCCGGAUUAGCUGAGAGGAGGUGCAUGGCGUAGUCGUGU